rnacentral:rRNA from 1 species
UACAGAGGUCCCAAGCGUUGUUCGGAUUCACUGGGCGUAAAGGGUGCGUAGGCGGUCGGGUAAGUCUGAUGUGAAAUCUCACAGCUUAACUGUGAAACUGCAUUGGAUACUAUUCGGCUUGAGAGUUGGAGGGGGGACUGGAAUUCUUGGUGUAGCAGUGAAAUGCGUAGAUAUCAAGAGGAACACCUGUGGCGAAAGCGGCUCACUGGACCAUAACUGACGCUGAUGCACGAAAGCUAGGGGAGCAAACAGG